rnacentral:rRNA from 1 species
UUUAGCAAGAAAACUACAAGCAAAGAGACCUUUAGUUUGUAACCCCGAAACUGAGCGAGCUACUCCAAGACAGCCUAUGUAGGGCCAACCCGUCUCUGUGGCAAAAGAGUGGGAAGAGCUUUGAGUAGAGGUGAUAAACCUACCGAGCACAGUUAUAGCUGGUUGCCUGAGAAAUGAAUAGAAGUUCAGCCCUUUAAGUCUUCCCCCAUCACCCAUGCUUAAGCUAAAAUUGAUUAAGGAAACUAAGGGAGUUAAUCAAAAGGGGUACAGCCCUUCUGAUAAAAGAAACAACUUUAACAGGUGAUUCAAGAUCAUAUUACCCAAGGAUUUCAAAUUAAGUGGGCCUAAAAGCAGCCAUCUUGAUAGAAAGCGUUAAAGCUCAAAUUAGACACUAUCCUCAUAUACUGAUAUUUUAUCUCCCUCCCUGCCCUUUACCAGGCUGUCUUGUGCCCCCACAAGAAUAAUUAUGCUAGA